rnacentral:rRNA from 1 species
AACGAACGCUGGCGGCAGGCCUAACACAUGCAAGUCGAGCGAGACCUUCGGGUCUAGCGGCGGACGGGUUAGUAACGCGUGGGAACGUGCCCUUCUCUGCGGAAUAGCCACUGGAAACGGUGAGUAAUACCGCAUACGCCCUUCGGGGGAAAGAUUUAUCGGAGAAGGAUCGGCCCGCGUUAGAUUAGAUAGUUGGUGGGGUAACGGCCUACCAAGUCUACGAUCUAUAGCUGGUUUUAGAGGAUGAUCAGCAACACUGGGACUGAGACACGGCCCGGACUCCCACGGGAGGCAGCAGUGGGGAAUCUUGGACAAUGGGGCAACCCCGAUCCAGCCAUGCCGCGUGUGUGAUGAAGGUCUUAGGAUCGUAAAGCACUUUCGCCAGGGAUGAUAAUGACAGUACCUGGUAAAGAAACCCCGGCUAACUCCGUG